ACAUAACGGAUGAUGGGUGAGCUCGUAUCUUGUGGAAUCGUUGCAGCGGUAUGUGCGUUGCGUGUGCGUGUUAUGUUUGAACGAAGAGUGUGUUAGAUCUUGUGCUAAAUCGAAUGGAAAGUUUCUCGAUCUUCUGUGCGACGCAACUUGUUUGGAUAUUUUUCUACCGAUCCUGUUUUAUUCGAAUAUCGUUACAUGACUAGUAUAAAUAUUCUAAGUGUACAUUAACAGUUGCAAUUAUUCGGACGACGUCGACAGUUGAUGGAUAUUGCUUGAAUAAUUGUAAUUUGAGACGCCGGAUUUCUAACGAAUAAUAAACACGAUGAAAACUGUUUCGUUGUUCUAGCGAGAAAUCGUAUGCGUGAACAGCAGCCAAAGGAUCUUUUAUUAACUUUUAUUAAUUGGUUUUGAAAGCGUAGUAAAGUAUAACAAGUGCUUUACACUGUCCGAAUAAUUAUGAUUUUCAUUUUUCAAAGAGUAUCCUUAACUAUUAAAGAUUAAAGAACACAAUUUUUCAUGUCAGUAAUGUUGAAACAUUCAUCGCUUUCCAAGAACAAGAAGCUAAUUACCCGUUUGUUCUACAUUUCAAGAAUUUGUUUGAUCGACCAACAAUUCCAGUAUAUUUUUACAAUGAAACUGUUUGAGGGUUUAAUAUGAUAAUAACGCUGAAACUUUCCAUUCAGUCAAAUAACGUUGUUUUUGAUUCCUAUCAGUCUGUUUGGGAAGAAGGUAUUGUUUGGUAUUGAAGGCCACGAUGUUAGGACGAUGGCCGAUUAAAAAUCUUGGCAACUUCCUGUGCGUGAAUCAUCGUUAGUCGCGAAUUUUCGAGCCUUUUUUGUAUCACUGUGCUUCUCUUCUCUGUCCCGCGAUUUAUUCGUGCGGGAACGAAAUUACGCUUGCAAUUAACAUGGCUUGUUAGAAGUAACAAACAGUGAUACAUCUUUCGUCACCAUCUGAACAUUUCAAUGCUUCUAAAUUCUGUUUUGUAUAUUUUUAGUAUUUUUGUUGGCAAUAUGUACAAGGUGUUUCAAGAAGGUCAUAAAAAUUUAAAUAUAAAUGCUACACGAGCUGGUAAAAUAAAAAGUAGGAAAAGUAGUAAAAUUCGCAUUGAAAUUUACAACUAUUUAUACGAUCUUCUAUCGACAAAUAAACUUCUCAUGUUUCGCGAGAAAAUUCACAAAAGUUGAGUUAACUGGUUAGUUUGGUUUCCAAGAGACUUAUACAUAUACGUCGAAAGAAGAGGAAAGGUUGGAUGGAGGCAAUCUGUGUCAAGAUGCAUCUAUACAUACUUGCCUUGAAUUAUACGAAGGAUACAUUGAACAUCUACUUUGUAUUCAUUUCCGUCAUACAAUAGUUAAUAUUUCUUUACUAGUACCUGUUUAUUCAACUUUGCUUUUCCCUUUGACACACAUAGACAUCUAAAAUACUUAAAUAUUUGCUGAACCUUUUUUAAAUGAUUUGUAUUUUGUAUACGUACAUUAUAUAUAGUUUAUGAACAUCGAAUAAGAUGUUCUAAGGGAAAGCGUAAUAUCUUGAACUUCGGAAAUGACUUUAGCGAGGAACGUAUUCAUAAAGGCUUGGAAAUUUAGAAGAAAAUUCUUUAAAUCAGUGGUUUUACAAGCAAUGGUAUGCACGUGUACCGUUAGUGGCACAUGGGUUCUUUUGUAUAUAGUAUACUUUAUCCGACAUCCUAGAUCAUAAAUUCUUAUUUGCAUACAAAGCAUACUUUUGUCAGUGGUAUUGAAAUUUCUGAAAUUUUCAUUUCAUUUGUGCACAAAAGAAUUGGAAGUCGCUGUUCUAUAGAUAUUUCUAUAAUUGUGUUCUUCUCUUGAAAUAAGAUAUAUUGCAUCUUAUUUUUUAAGUAAAAUACGCUUCCGUUAAAUUUCAGAAACAAUAUAGGAAUGGUAUGAAAGAAUUGUUACUCUUAUCAGACCUCAGUGAAACCUCAUUUUAUUGCGAUGGAAUUUAAACAAAAAUAAGAUUAGAAGAUAACAAGAUUUGUUUUCUUUGCUAGCGGGAUAUCGUUGCAUAUGUCUACCCUUUUAGAUGUACCUGAAGAUUUUACAGCUAUGAAACGCAGUGUAGCGAUGAAAGAUGUAACAGCUGCGAAUGUUUAACCUUGAAAUUAGGAUUUCUGCCGCGUUGGACUCGAUCAAGACGUUGCAGAAGGCGUCAGCGAAAUACUCUUAAGUGAAAUGGUCUAUUUGAAGCCAGACACACCCAAACGGAGAACGCGUGCUGAGGUCGCGUCAGCACGACCGCGGAACCAGCCAGGAAAGACGGUACAAGCGAAGCCAUCGUCGAUCACCGAGUAGCGGUCGCCAGCACGGGCAUCGUGAUCGCGAUCGUGAUCGUUUGGCGCA